rnacentral:rRNA from 1 species
GACGAACGCUGGCGGCGUGCUUAACACAUGCAAGUCGAGCGGAGCGGCGAACGGGUGAGUAACGCGUGAGUAACUGCCCCCCUCUCUGGGAUAACAGUUGGAAAUGGCUGCUAAUACCGGUUAGUGGGGGAUGAUUCGCGUCCUAUCAGCUUGUUGGUGGGGUAGUGGCCUCCCAAGGCGACGACGGGUAGCCGGCCUGAGAGGGGACCCGGCCACAAUGGUCUGAGAUAAAGGCCGAAAUCCUACGGGAGGAAGCAGUGGGGAAUAUUGCACAAAGGGGGAAACCCUGGAGCAGGAACGCCGCGUGCGGGAUGACGGCCGUCAGGUUGUAAACCGCUUUGAGCCAUGACGCGGUAGUGGCAGAAGAAGCACCGGCUAACUACGUGCCAGCAGCCGCGGUAAUUC